AUGCAACACGCAUGGUGUCAGAAUUCUCUAGGGCAAUACAUUGGUCACCUGAGAUGUUUCCAAUCCCUCCCCUCUACUAUCUAUGCUCAUACUCGUAUGCAAAGUAGUAGCCAUUCUCUUGCAAAGAUUUCCAAUAAUUCCACACUCCCGGAUAAUACGCCUGGCCUCUCUUCAGAAUACGUUUCCAGUGGGUUUGAUGAUCCUAUUCUGAUGGAAUGUCUGUUUGAUCCAAGCCUUUUGAGACUGUACAGAACAGGAGGUUCUACACAUCUGUACAGAAGUGAGGAGGAUGAUGAUUUUAAUUUAUCGUACCUCUUUCAAAACAAGCACAAGUAUGGCUUGAGCAAAGAUACUGAUGUGGCACUGUGGCUAGCUUACAGAGCAUACACCCAUCAACCAGACUUAGUUGAAGCAUUUGACUUCGUGGUCGUCAAUUCACUCCUUCACAAUCAGUUUGACGACUUCAAAAAAGCAGAAAACACUGACAUCAGCUACUUAGAAAUGAACAGCCUGUUACAUUUCUACAUCCGUCAACACCCCCAGUCUGGUACUUUCCUGACAAAAAAGUAUGGUAAAACAUACCUAACCUGCACUUGUGGUCAAGUCAAUGAACUAUGUCAAUGGAUCUACGAUAUGAGAAAACAACACCCUCAAGACUUGCCACAAAGUUCUGUGAUGGGCAAAGAGCAGCAAAAGAUGCCACUUUGCUCAAUACCAGACGUGAGCCUUACACAUGGACCUGUGGUGACCCAUUUGCAACCAAUUGAUGUCCCCUUAGACUGUCCACCACCACCUAAGAGACGAAAGUCUAAUCAGUCUGUACCUAAGAGUCAAAAGAUCUACAACUCCUCAGCAGAAAAACAAAAAUAUGGAAAGAGCUUACAAAGUGGGUAUCCUUGGCACCCAAGUAUCUGGAGUUUUCAACAGAAUACAUGGAGUUGAAAUCUUUGAUCUAACAACUGAUCAAAUCUGUAGUCUCUUGGAACAUCCUGAUCCGUGCAAACCAGUCGAACUGAUUUUUCUGCUCCUGUAAUGACGUAUAAGGUAAUGGAAGGGGGCAGAGUCUAUCAGGAGAUCUCAAGAAAGAAAUUAUCCCAAGCUGUAAAAGACAUCGAGAUUCUUAUCUCCCGAUUGAGUACUGAGGACUAUUGGAGUUUCUUUGCCAAAGAUUUUUUCCAAACAAUCUUCUCUAAAAAUCUUACUAAAAAAUGCAAGAUGGUCAUAGCAAGGAUAAUUGGUAGAAAACACGGGGAGACCAAUCAGUUUCUGUGAAAACAGAAGUGUUUUUGAAGAAUCAAGGGCUGCAUGGAUAUGAAAAGCCUCAAAUUCAAAGGAAAUUUCUUUGUUAUCACUGACAAAUCACAAGCUGAAACCAAGACAAGGACUAAACCUACUAAUAAAGUGAACAUUGAGAGGGUGAGGUCCGAGCUAGCCGGAGAAGAGUUCAAAAUGGCUGUCACACAGCCUGUAAAGGAGACAGUGGCUGCAGGCAAAUCCAUCAUUGGCUUCGGAGCAAGACUGGGGCAGUGGUUUUCAUCACUUGUUCAUUAACGUGAUUAAACACUGUUUUUAAUUAUUGUGAUGUGUGAAUGUUCAUAAACUGAAUGUUGUGUAA